rnacentral:rRNA from 1 species
GAUGAACGCUAGCGACAGGCUUUACACAUGCAAUUCGAGGGGCAUCACGGGAGUAGCAAUACAACUGGUGGCGAACGGCGCACGGGUGAGUAACGCGUAUGUAACCUACCUAUCAGAGGGGAAUAACCCGGCGAAACUCGGCCUAAUACCGCAUAAAACAGGGGGACCCCAUGGUGAUUUUUGUUAAAGAAAUUCACUACUAAACGGGCAUGCAUUCCAUUAGGUAGUUGGUGAGGUAACGGCUCACAAAGCCGACGAUGGAUAGGGGAACUGAGAGGUUGGUCCCCCACACUGGUACAGAGACACGGACCAGACUCCUACGGGAGGCAGCAGUGAGGAAUAUUGGUCAAUGGGCGGGAGCCUGAACCAGCCAAGUCGCGUGAAGGAAGAAGGAUCUAUGGUUCGUAAACUUCUUUUGCAGGGGAAUAAAGUGCAGGACGUGUCCUGUUUUGUAUGUACCCUGAGAAUAAGGACCGGCUAACUCCGUGCCAGCCGCCGCGGUAACAC